rnacentral:rRNA from 1 species
CCUACGGGAGGCUGCAGUGGGGGAUAUUGCACAAUGGGGGAAACCCUGAUGCAGCGACGCCGCGUGGGCGAAGAAGUAUUUCGGUAUGUAAAGCCCUAUCAGCAGGGAAGAAGAAAUGACGGUACCUGAGUAAGAAGCACCGGCUAAAUACGUGCCAGCAGCCGCGGUAAUACGUAUGGUGCAAGCGUUAUCCGGAUUUACUGGGUGUAAAGGGAGCGCAGGGGGCACGGCAAGCCUGAUGUGAAAGCCCGCGGCCCAACCGCGGGACUGCCUUGGAAACUACCGGGCUGGAGUGCCGGAGAGGUAGGCGGAAUUCCUGGUGUAGCGGUGAAAUGCGUAGAUAUUAGGAGGAACACCAGUGGCGAAGGCAGCCUACUAGACGGUGACUGACGCUGAGGCUCGAAAGCGUGGGGAGCAAACAGGAUUAGAUACCCUAGUAGUC